rnacentral:rRNA from 1 species
UACGUAGGGCGCAAGCGUUAUCCGGAAUUAUUGGGCGUAAAGAGCUCGUAGGCGGUUUGUCGCGUCUGCCGUGAAAGUCCGGGGCUCAACUCCGGAUCUGCGGUGGGUACGGGCAGACUAGAGUGAUGUAGGGGAGACUGGAAUUCCUGGUGUAGCGGUGAAAUGCGUAGAGAUCCGGAGGAACACCGGUGGCGAAGGCGACCUGCUGGGCCGACCCUGACGCUGAGGCGCGAAAGCGUGGGGAGCGAACCGG